AUUGAACGCUGGCGGCAGGCCUAACACAUGCAAGUCGAGCGGAUGAAGGGAGCUUGCUCCUGGAUUCAGCGGCGGACGGGUGAGUAAUGCCUAGGAAUCUGCCUGGUAGUGGGGGAUAACGUCCGGAAACGGGCGCUAAUACCGCAUACGUCCUGAGGGAGAAAGUGGGGGAUCUUCGGACCUCACGCUAUCAGAUGAGCCUAGGUCGGAUUAGCUAGUUGGUGGGGUAAAGGCCCACCAAGGCGACGAUCCGUAACUGGUCUGAGAGGAUGAUCAGUCACACUGGAACUGAGACACGGUCCAGACUCCUACGGGAGGCAGCAGUGGGGAAUAUUGGACAAUGGGCGAAAGCCUGAGCCAGCCAUGCCGCGUGUGUGAAGAAGGUCUUCGGAUUGUAAAGCACUUUAAGUUGGGAGGAAGGGCAGUAAGUUAAGACCUUGCUGUUUGGACGUUACCAACAGAAUAAGCACCGGCGAACUUCGG
rnacentral:rRNA from 1 species